rnacentral:sRNA from 1 species
AGCUCGUCAUAUCAAUGAAAAUAAAUUUUUAUACAGAGUACUCUCCCUUGUCAUUGCUCUUCUAGCCACAGGUUGGACCAGCCAUCCCUGGCUUGCAUUUUGUAUUUUAGAAGGCUGCUUCUUGAAAGUUCUCGACAAUAUAGACUAUGGAUUACCGAAACGUAAUUUUAAUUUUAUAAAGCUUAUAUCUACUCACUCUGUCUGUCUGUCUGGUA